CAGGAUUUAGAUACCCUGGUAGUCCACGCUGUAAACGAUGUCGAUUUGGAGGUUGUGCCCUUGAGGCGUGGCUUCCGGAGCUAACGCGUUAAAUCGACCGCCUGGGGAGUACGGCCGCAAGGUUAAAACUCAAAUGAAUUGACGGGGGCCCGCACAAGCGGUGGAGCAUGUGGUUUAAUUCGAUGCAACGCGAAGAACCUUACCUACUCUUGACAUCCAGAGAACUUAGCAGAGAUGCAUUGGUGCCUUCGGGAACUCUGAGACAGGUGCUGCAUGGCUGUCGUCAGCUCGUGUUGUGAAAUGUUGGGUUAAGUCCCGCAACGAGCGCAACCCUUAUCCUUUGUUGCCAGCGGUUCGGCCGGGAACUCAAAGGAGACUGCCAGUGAUAAACUGGAGGAAGGUGGGGAUGACGUCAAGUCAUCAUGGCCCUUACGAGUAGGGCUACACACGUGCUACAAUGGCGUAUACAAAGAGAAGCGACCUCGCGAGAGCAAGCGGACCUCAUAAAGUACGUCGUAGUCCGGAUUGGAGUCUGCAACUCGACUCCAUGAAGUCGGAAUCGCUAGUAAUCGUAGAUCAGAAUGCUACGGUGAAUACGUUCCCGGGCCUUGUACACACCGCCCGUCACACCAUGGGAGUGGGUUGCAAAAGAAGUAGGUAGCUUAACCUUCGGGAGGGCGCUUACCACUUUGUGAUUCAUGACUGGGGUGAAGUCGUAACAAGGUAA
rnacentral:rRNA from 1 species